rnacentral:rRNA from 1 species
AGUGAACGCUGGCGGUAGGCCUAACACAUGCAAGUCGAACGGCAGCACAGUAAGAGCUUGCUCUUACGGGUGGCGAGUGGCGGACGGGUGAGGAAUACAUCGGAAUCUACUUUUUCGUGGGGGAUAACGUAGGGAAACUUACGCUAAUACCGCAUACGACCUACGGGUGAAAGCAGGGGAUCUUCGGACCUUGCGCGAUUGAAUGAGCCGAUGUCGGAUUAGCUAGUUGGCGGGGUAAAGGCCCACCAAGGCGACGAUCCGUAGCUGGUCUGAGAGGAUGAUCCGCCACACUGGAACUGAGACACGGUCCAGACUCCUACGGGAGGCAGCAGUGGGGAAUAUUGGACAAUGAGCGGAAGCCUGAUCCAGCCAUACCGCGUGGGUUAAGAAGGCCUUCGGGUUGUAAAGCCCUUUUGUUGGGAAAGAAAAGCAGCAGGUUAAUACCCCGCUGUUCUGACGGUACCCAAAGAAUAAGCACCGGCUAACUUCGUG